rnacentral:rRNA from 1 species
GUUAAGCGACUAAGCGUACACGGUGGAUGCCCUGGCAGUCAGAGGCGAUGAAGGACGUGCUAAUCUGCGAUAAGCGUCGGUAAGGUGAUAUGAACCGUUAUAACCGGCGAUUUCCGAAUGGGGAAACCCAGUGUGAUUCGUCACACUAUCAUUAACUGAAUCCAUAGGUUAAUGAGGCGAACCGGGGGAACUGAAACAUCUAAGUACCCCGAGGAAAAGAAAUCAACCGAGAUUCCCCCAGUAGCGGCGAGCGAACGGGGAGCAGCCCAGAGCCUGAAUCAGUGUGUGUGUUAGUGGAAGCGUCUGGAAAGGCGCGCGAUACAGGGUGACAGCCCCGUACACAAAAAUGCACAUGCUGUGAGCUCGAUGAGUAGGGCGGGACACGUGGUAUCCUGUCUGAAUAUGGGGGGACCAUCCUCCAAGGCUAAAUACUCCUGACUGACCGAUAGUGAACCAGUACCGUGAGGGAAAGGCGAAAAGAACCCCGGCGAGGGGAGUGAAAAAGAACCUGAAACCGUGUACGUACAAGCAGUGGGAGCACGCUUAGGCGUGUGACUGCGUACCUUUUGUAUAAUGGGUCAGCGACUUAUAUUCUGUAGCAAGGUUAACCGAAUAGGGGAGCCGAAGGGAAACCGAGUCUUAACUGGGCGUUAAGUUGCAGGGUAUAGACCCGAAACCCGGUGAUCUAGCCAUGGGCAGGUUGAAGGUUGGGUAACACUAACUGGAGGACCGAACCGACUAAUGUUGAAAAAUUAGCGGAUGACUUGUGGCUGGGGGUGAAAGGCCAAUCAAACCGGGAGAUAGCUGGUUCUCCCCGAAAGCUAUUUA